rnacentral:rRNA from 1 species
GAGCGUUCCCCUUCGGGGGACAGAGUGACAGGUGGUGCAUGGUUGUCGUCAGCUCGUGUCGUGAGAUGUUGGGUUAAGUCCCGCAACGAGCGCAACCCUUGAUCUUAGUUGCCAGCAUUUAGUUGGGCACUCUAAGGUGACUGCCGGUGACAAACCGGAGGAAGGUGGGGAUGACGUCAAAUCAUCAUGCCCCUUAUGACCUGGGCUACACACGUGCUACAAUGGAUGGUACAAAGGGCUGCAAGACCGCGAGGUCAAGCCAAUCCCAUAAAACCAUUCUCAGUUCGGAUUGUAGGCUGCAACUCGCCUACAUGAAGCUGGAAUCGCUAGUAAUCGCGGAUCAGCAUGCCGCGGUGAAUACGUUCCCGGGCCUUGUACACACCG